GCUGGUCAUUUAACCAAUCAAGAGCGAAUAAUCAAUAGCCAAUCGUAACAGCGGGAUGCAGAAAGUGCGAGAAUCUAUAUCAUCUGUGUCAUUACAUGAGCCAAAUAGCAACAAGGAAGAAUACCCAACAAUAAUGAGUGACCUGAUGCCCUGUGCAAUUUGACCUAAUGCCUGAAGCCAAGAAAUUGCAGAAUGGAACUCAUAUUAGUUGUGGAAUUUUUCUUGAUGUUUGUUUUAACAGCCUGUAUAAAUUGUUGUUUGACAAGACAGUGGAAUUUUAAUAAUAGAACAUUUUGUUUGAGCAACUGAAAUGAUUAUGCUCUGGCAGCCAUGGUGUGCAGUGGACUGGAACCAUUUAACAAAUUUUGGUUAAUGACCACCCAAGGAACAUUUCUGUCAAGUUUCAUCAAAUUCUGAUCAUCGGUUAACAUUUAAUCUGAAUAGAUUAUGAAGCAAAUAUCUAACCUGAACAAGAACUGACGAGAUAGAAUCGACUUGGUGUUUCACUUACACUUUUCGGCCAUUUAAGUUACUAAAAAUAGCUGUUUCAUAAACUUUCAGAAUGUCACUUAAACGAAAAUUAAUGUUCAGUCUAUAUAUACUUUCCUAUGUAUAAAUGUAAGGUUUUUAAAUUGAUCUUUUUGUGAGAACUUUAUGCUUAUAUGUUUACUCAUAAAUUAUUAUUGUUUAAAAAUUAUUUAAAGAUGCUAUACGUGAAAAAUUAAGACAUUAUUUUUUUUUCUAUUAAAGGGAGGUAAUUCAGUAGUAAAAUGUAAUCAAAGCUAUUAAAGCAUGGCAUUUCUUUUCUAACCAUGUUGAUAUUAUUACAGUCUAUUCAAGCAAGAUGCCUUUUGUUUUUACAUAGUACCCAUAGGUUCUGAAAAACAAGGAGCACUAUUCCCAACAGAAGGAUGUCACUCCCUAUCACUGCAUGAGCAUCAUAAUAAAGAAAUGUUUACUCAAACUGCAAGCUGCUCAAUUGAAAUAGGACUACAACAAUACAUCUCAAAUCCCCCUCAGCUACCCUUAAACAAGGACAACACAACUCCAGAACAGCCAAAGAACACUUUUAAACUAAAAGAGACUGCAGAACUAUGUAACCUAUUCAAGGAAAACCAUCACAAGCUCUACAAAACUAGCAAAGGACAUUCAAAAACAACACACUCCAAAGCUGCAAAAGGACAAUUCUAGUCAACAUAUGGACACAACAUUGCUUGUCAAAACACCUGUGCAAAGACUGCUGAAAAACUACCUAAGAAAAUCCAUGUCUACCCAAAAAGCACAAGGAUAUUCAAGAACUGCACAAUUCAUCCAGAUAAUCCCAUGUACCAAAUUUUAUAAAUCAACUAUUAUGUAUUUGACGAGAUACAGAGACAAUUGUGGUACCAAUACCAGACAAUUGAAGACAAUAUAUGCCAGAACUCACUCUGUAACGACAAAACUCAGCCAAUAUCAGCAAAACUCAAAUAAUAUGAGUUUCCUCCGUUUUGAUUGGCUCGCCUUAUAUAGGAUUUGUGAAAUGAGCCAUUUUCAUUGGCUGUCAAAACUCGCCUUAUAUGAGAAAUAUGCUGGAAAUUAUUUUUAAAGGUAGCCAUUUUGUUUUCCGUUUCUGACUCAGCUUUUGCAAAUGUUGUGCUUCGUAUUAAUCUAUUUGGAAUACUUGAACCUAUUGAAUAAUUGACCACUUAUACAGUUUGAUAUAACAGUUGUAUAAGAAUAAGUUGUUUUUUUAUCUCAUACUUGAUUUUGUGUGGCAUUAAUAUUUUGGAUGCUGCAAUAUAAUUUUGUAACCAUUUCAACACAUUAGUAUUGUAUUGAAGCGAAAUGUUGGCUAUGCUCAUUAAAUCAUACGUUGCUGCUUAUAAA